GCGGCAGUAGCUGAGUGGUAGAGCCCCCGCUUCGCGUGCGGGGAGACUUGGGUUCGAUUCCCGGCUGCUUCC
rfam:Toxocara canis scaffold1677, whole genome shotgun sequence.